UCGGUGUAAGCAAAUCGGAGGGCUGUGUACUUUCAGUCCCGCAAACUAAAUCUGAAUUCCAGACUUGGUUCAGCACAUCUGGAAUCCAGUGUUCCCUGAGGAGCAGGAAAAAGACACCCACGCCACUGAGCUGUCUCUGUGACUGCUAAAUGGAGGAGCUGGCACAGGGACCCCAGUAGGUGCUCAACACAGGGAAAUGGCUCUUCCCUUCCUCCCACCCAUGAAGAGGAGCACACCAGACUCUCUGUAACUGCAUGUGGACUGGGUUGCCUGCAUUUGAGCACACACAACCACCCCCCGGGGCAGGGGUGGGCACAAUCUCACAGACCUACAGAGCCUGGUGAACACUAAGAGACCUAGACUUCGAGGACAGGGUUCUGGCCAAGGUUUUCAGUGAAAAAAGGUCCUGACUUUCUAUGAUGUCUUAGGGUCAGCUAAUGUGAGCCUUGGAAAACAGCCAUCAGCCAGGGAUGCCGUGACAGCGGACCUGAGGAGAGUCCCCAGCAAACUAGAAUCAUGUCACAGUCAAGUCAUUUGACCCCCAUGGCAAUCCCGUGGGGUAGAAAUCCUUCCAGCUCCUACUACCCAGGUGAAGCGUGGUAACUCAGACACGCAAACACAGGCCCGAGUGCAUACAGCCUGCAGUGAGUGACCAGACUCAGAAACCCAGCUUCGCUUCAGAAGUUCCAGUGUGCCUAACGGGGCCAAUUCCCAGGGUCAUGCUUCCACUUAUGCCACCAAAUACAGGACUUUUGAAGGAAAAUUUAGAAGCUUUUUCCAGCAGGCUGGCAGAAACAUCGACACAACAGUUGUGGACCCCAACCUGCAGCACUUCCCCUGCUAUGGAUGCCAGCAGAGACUCUUGUCUAUGUGAUGUGGACCAGCCCAGACAAACAGAGACAUGUCAGCUCCUGGCAGCAUCCUUUAUCUCCUCCAAGAAGAUGGAUGGCCACAGAAUAAUUUCUACCCAGAAGUUCAUGGCAAGGCUGGCCACACAGCAAAAAGCUGAGAUCCUGUCCAGACUGUGAAUAUGAGAAGCAACAGGGAUCAGUUGUCCUCUCUGCCAAGACAGGGUAUUUUGCAGAUUCACUGUUCCCGCCUGACCUUCAGAGAAACAACAGAUGCCAUGGCCUCUGUACUCCUGAUUUGGCAUGCCAUUUCCCCCCAAGCUCCUGGAACACCACUGCUGCAGUCUGCCUCCUCAGGUCCUCAAGGAACGUUCCUGAGAUCUCCCUCCGUGCAUGACCCCCGGCAUCCCCCUCCCCCCUUUGCCCCUUGUCAGCUUGAAGCAGUCUCAGGAAUUCAGCG